AAAUCAGACUCCCAAUGUGCUUUCAUCCAUUUCCAAUAUGACAAUUGAAGCUUCUAUUGUUUUAUUUCACUCCCAAAUUGAAGCUUAUGUUCAUCUUUAAACCCUAAUGAACCAAAUCGACGUCUGCUUCUGUUCUUUUCUUUCAUUUUAUGAUGUUCUUUUCUUUCUUUUCCCUUAAAAGAUGACGAUUGAAGCUUCUAUUGUUUGGUUUUGUUUUGAUUGCAAAUUUAUUCGUUUUGGGAGGGCAGUCAGGUCACUGGUGUUGGAGCUGCAAAAAGUUUGGACGGGUUAAUGUCAUUCAAGGAAUUCAUGAUGAUGCAUCGUUAUUUGCAAAAUGGCAGGAGAUCUUUUCCUCUGACCGAAGAAGAGUACUUGUUAAUGCUUGAUGAUGUGGCAAAUACGUUGAAAUGCUGGGGAGUGGUUUCUCAUAUUCGGAAUAGCCUCGAAAAAUUGAAAGAGCGACCACGAGUUGGAAAGAAGGUAUUUUGUAGACUCAUUGGAUAGUUCGGUAUGGAUGCUUUCAUGGUGGUUAUUAACGUGGAGAUUGGACUAUGGUGCAGUUGAUCUAGAGGCGGUAGGUGUUGAUUUUUGUUCAUUUUGAUUAAUUAGGAUAUUGGUUUCUAUUUCGAUUUGUAUAAGAUAAUUUAUUUGUUUUUCA